AUAUAUUUACUAGUAUAUAUUUAAUACUAUAAAAUAAAUUCCUAGAUAUUUUUAAAUAAUAUUUAUAAAUAAAAUAUUAUAUAAUAAUAUUUUUAUAUUAAAAAUAAAAAAUUAUUUUUAAUAUAUAUAUAUAUAUAUAUAUAUAUAAAAUAUGACUAAUGUGCUAUUAGGAGUACAGCAGUCUUUGUACUCCUAACUUUCUAACUAUUUAUCAAUUUUGAUGGAUGAUUAAGAUGAAAGAGAAAAAAAAUUUAAGAGAAAUUGAAAGAAAAGAAAAAUUGAGAAAUCCAAUUUCUUCUCAAUUUCUCUUCUCUUUCUUAGCUUAAUUAACUAUCCAUCAAUUUUGAUGGACGGUUAGAAAAUUAAGAGCACAGGGACUACUAUACUUUUAAUAGCAUAAUAGUCCUGCUCCAUAUAAGAAAAAGGGAGAGUGGACCUCUCUCUCGCUGUCCAUGAGAUAGAGUGUAUCUCCUGGACCGCGUGCCGCUGCCCCCUCUCCUCCCAGCGCCGCAUUUUUUCCAAUGGUAGUUUUAGUUUUUCGCGGUAAUGGAGCGAAGAGCGAAAACAUCUUGUUUUCUCUGAAUCUGUAGAAGAAAUUUGAGAACAUUUUUUUUCAGGUAAUCAAACACCGAAAUUCUAUUUUUGAACCGAAAAAAAAAAGAAGAGUUUUCAGUAUAGUUUUAAGUGGAACGAAAUAAUGUCUUUUUGAGUAAUUGUAAAUUUUUAUAUUGUUUGUAUUAGAAGUUAAAAAAAUUGAGUUGGCAGUUCGAUCACGUAGCUACUGGUGCUGUGGCUCAUCAUUAGUAUCGAUACGAUUAUAUAGGUACGGCCAUAAUCAAUAAAUGACAUUUUCUAAUGGGAAAACAACGAAACGAAAUGCCCCUCCACUUGCUCUUAUUUUCAACAUUGCCCCCCAUCACCGUACCCUCCUGACCCAAGAGAGCUUCACCAUAAAUUAGGGUGUAGUUAAGGUACAGAGAAUCUGGGAGUGUAACGCAGAGAACUCUCUCUCUCUCUCUCUCUCUCUCUCUCUCUCUCUCUCUCUCUCUCUUUAUUAUCCAUUCAUUUUGGGUGAGGAAACUCUCGCAGAGAACAAAAUCUGGGGAGUUUGUGAGGAGGCAUUAAAGGCUAUGGCGGCGGCUAGAAGAGCGGCUUCUUCUCUCCUCUUUCGUUGUCUCUACGCAUCUCCACGCUUCCAUGGAGGUGAUCUUUUUUCUUUUCCUUUUUUUGCAGAUUUUUUUUAAAAAAAAAAUUCCUGUAUGUAUCCUCGUUUUGCCUUGGUUUAGUUUUUGUACCCUUUUUUUUUUUUGUUACUUGUUUGUUGACUUAUUUCGGUUAAUUUGGUGGGUUUUUUAUCACCUUGGAGAGGUCACCUAUGCUGCUGCUUUUUUUUUAGUUUUUUUUUUUUCUCUUUUUUUGGCUGCUUUNAUGAAAAAUUAUUUAGAUUUUCGGGAGCCUAGACUGGAGGGUGUAAGACUUACAUUUUGUUUUUGGAAUGUACUAGUAAAAUUUCACCCUAUCCAAAAAAAAAAAAAAAAAAAAAACGUUUUUUUUACUGCUUUUUCUGUAUUUUUAUUGAUAUUUUUGUGGGGGUUUUUUUGGUAGAUGUAGGAGCUUUUCCGUUUUAAUUCUUCAACGAUCUAUGCUCUUUUGUAUUUUUUUAUAAAGUUUUCUUUUUUGUUGUUGUGAAGUAGUUUACUAGUUUGAGAAAAAUAUGGAUCAUUUAUUUGCUCUUUUUUUUAUUUUUUUUUUCGCUUGAUUUUGUGGUAGAGAAAUUUCCCAAUAAAUUGGUAUCAUCUAUUGUUGGUUCUUAUGGGCAAUUGUGGGUGUCAAUUUCCCUGUAUCAGUUCGAUUCGGAUCAUCACUAUUAUGUUCUGUUUAAUUCACUAUAUAUUCCAUAUACAAAACCAUCAGGUGGUGCUUUGGAUCUGUUUGUUCUUCAAUUUGUGAAUUAAUAGACAAAAACAGUGACCAUUUCAUUUAUUUAUUUAUUUUUGCACUAAUGUAAGUGCCUUUUUACCACUGUGCUCAAUUCGCGAAAAUUUUGCUGAGUGCAUUUCGAUAAAUUUCGUCUUCAGGUAGAGCAAAUGCCCUGUCUUCGGGGAUUCUCCAAAGGUUUAGCACCGCAGCCGCAACCGAAGAACCGAUCACACCGCCUGUUCAAGUCAAUUACACCCAACUCCUGAUUAAUGGACAAUUUGUGGACUCGGCAUCUGGUAUAUAUAUGUGUAUUUUUAACUUAAUCACUGAAUUUUAAUCUUACUUGUGGGACUAUUUGUACUAGAUUCUUAUAGCUUGAUCUUGUAGUGUGCCGUGUACAUUGCUUCUUCUUGCACUCAUGCGAAAGUGUUGUUUACUUAGAGCUGUUUGAAGAAGCACUUAUAGCUCUCUCAUGAAGAUCUUCCCUACAGCUCCUGCUGUGGAGGAGACUGGGACUAUUGCUUUCGGGGUGCAAAAGUUUAUUUUUGCUUCUUGCCACAAGCAAAAUGCCUGGUCUUUCGAGAUUAGAGAAGCUAUUUCGAAAGCAAUGCCGAACAAACAAUGUGAUCAGAGAUAGUUGUUAAGAUUACCCCCUUUUCUACCAGGUAGAACAUUCCCAACCUUGGACCCUCGCACUGGGGAGGUCAUUGCCCAUGUUGCCGAGGGAGAUGUCGAAGAUAUCAAUCGUGCCGUCGUUGCCGCUCGCAAGGCAUUUGAUGAAGGGCCUUGGCCAAAGAUGACAGCUUAUGUAUAUUCCUACGAUCUUGUGUAUUUCUAUUUUUCGUAUUAGUUACGGCCACAAUCUCUUGAAUCUUUUGUAAACUAGCUAUCCCUCAAAUCUUCCAGGAAAGAUCCCGCAUUCUCUACAAGUUUGCGGAUUUGAUUGAGAAACACAACGAUGAGCUUGCUGCUCUUGAGACUUGGGAUAAUGGGAAGCCAUAUGAACAGGCUGCAUUAGCUGAAGUUCCAAUGUUAGCCCGUCUGAUGCGCUACUAUGCUGGUAAUGCUUAUGAAUGCCUUCAUUUUUUCUUGGUAAUGAAAGAGUAUCGCCUUUUGAUCCGUCUUUCUCAGCUGAGUAGAUUAACUUAAGAAUCUUUUCUUUCAAAAUUUUCCAGGUUGGGCGGAUAAGAUACAUGGCCUCAUUGUGCCGGCCGACGGCCCGCAUCAUGUGCAAGUCUUGCAUGAGCCAAUCGGUGUUGCGGGUCAAAUCAUCCCAUGGAACUUCCCGCUUCUUAUGUAUGCUUGGAAAGUUGGGCCGGCACUGGCUUGCGGAAACACCAUUGUACUUAAGACGGCUGAACAAACUCCUUUAUCGGCUUUAUACGUGUCAAAGCUGUUGCAUGAGGUGGGUGCAGAGUAUAUCCAUGUUCGACUGUGUCUUAGUUACGGGAUAAGUAGAUAUCUUAGAUUUUUUGUUCUUGUAUUUUCCUCUAAUUAUUUCUUAUGGUCUUUCAUAGUUUUUCGGCUUGUAAAGCCUACUGAAAAUGACUUGACCAACGACUUUUUUCAAUCUUUGGGGCCCAUAAAGAUGGCUCAGUUUAUCUGCCUGAACUAGAGAUGUUCAUACAUCAACUACCAUUUAUUGCUCUCUUCUUCUUCUUCUUUUUUCUAUUCCGCAUAAAUUUGAUGCACAGUAACAAUGAGUUCUAAGAAAUGCAUAUUUUACUGGUUUUUGGUAAUUAUGAAAAAAGCAUUUGAGAUUUCUAACAUUUGGUGCCUUCCGUACUUAUGAUCUACUUCCCGUUGCCCGCAUAGAUUGAAGUCUUUUACUGUUCUAAUCUCUGCAAUAUAUUAACAGGGAUGUGAACUCAGUAAUGUUUUAUAUUUAACAGUUAUAUAAGCUGUGUUAGACCAUGAUUUUUCCAAUUAAUGCCAAAGCCACCCAAUUUCUUUUGGCUAUUUCUACCGUUCUGAAUAGAAAAAGGAAAAAUGAAGUGUCGAGUUCUUAAACACCUGUAAAUUGGUAAAAAAUGAAUUCUAUUCUUUUAUUUUGAGUGAAAAGAACAGUUCUCUUUUAGUCGAUUAGCGCAAAGCAGAUUCAAUAUCCUGUUCCUUCUAUUCAAUGGAUUCUGGUAACUAUUUCUGAUGAAUGUUUCAGGCUGGUCUACCCGAUGGUGUUUUGAAUGUGAUCUCUGGUUUUGGUCCCACUGCUGGUGCUGCUCUUGCUAGCCACAUGGAUGUGGACAAGGUAAAUAUGUUCAUAUUUUCAUUUAUUUAUACGCUCCAUGGUGUUUAUAUCUGAAUUUUCUAUGUACUUACUGUUGUGCUCCGCUAAAUUAGUUCAAUUUUCAUGUAAUAACACGAGUCAUUCUAUAUAAAAUUAUGUACCUUUCCUCAGCUUGCUUUUACUGGAUCGACCAAUACCGGUAAGAUCGUUCUUGAAUUGGCUGCAAGAAGCAAUCUUAAGCCAGUGACUCUUGAGCUCGGAGGGAAGUCUCCUUUCAUCGUAAUGGACGAUGCUGAUGUCGACCAGGCCGUAGAGCUCGCUCAUUUUGCACUAUUCUUUAAUCAGGUAAUUUUCACCAAUUACAGUGAAAGGGAAUUGCGCCAGUUUUUAAAUCGAUUAAUGAUGUUUAGAUCGUUACUCCUUUUGCAGGGACAAUGCUGCUGUGCUGGGUCUCGCACAUUUGUACAUGAAAAAGUGUAUGACGAGUUUGUAGAGAAAGCGAAAGCGCGUGCUUUGAAGCGUGUUGUCGGCGAUCCUUUCAAGAAAGGAGUUGAACAAGGCCCUCAGGUAACUACAGCACGAAAAAUGGCAUGAAUUGUAUUCACAGAAAUAAAGGCAAUUUCGUAAAGAGAAGAUCAGCAUGACCAGUUUAGAUGAUAUGUCAUUGAAUUUUGUUCUUUUUCAGAUUGAUGAUGAGCAGUUCUCCAAAGUUCUGCGCUACAUAAAGUCGGGCAUCGACUCGGGGGCUACCCUUGUAGCUGGCGGAGAUAGAUUCGGCAGCAAAGGAUAUUACAUCCAGCCGACCAUAUUCUCGGAUGUGCAGGUAACAAGUUAGCUCCCCUGACAACUGCUCCACAAAGUGAAGUUCUAGGUGUGUUUUACUCAUUUGUUUUUUUCCUCGAUUUUUCUAGGAUGAAAUGACCAUAGCUCAAGAGGAGAUAUUCGGCCCAGUUCAAUCUAUCCUCAAGUUCAAGUGAGUAUUGUUUAGUAUAUAAAAAUUGAAAACAACGUUCUCUUAUAGCUGAAGCUUAAGAUUUUAGAGCAUCAUUUACUAUUUAAUUGAGAAAAACAAUCUAAACUCCUAUAAAACUUAAAAUACUUUUCCUAUGGAUGAUCACAGGGAUAUUAACGAAGUCAUCAAGAGGGCAAAUGCCAGCAGGUACGGGUUGGCGGCCGGGGUCUUCACCAACAACCUCGACACCGCCAACACGCUGGCUCGUGCUCUGAGAGUCGGGUCCUUGUGGAUCAACUGCUUCGACGUCUUCGAUGCGGCGAUCCCCUUCGGCGGCUACAAGAUGAGCGGGCAGGGCAGGGAGAAGGGCAUCGACAGCCUGAAGAACUACUUGCAGGUCAAGGCAGUCAUUACGCCGUUGAAAAACCCGGCCUGGCUGUAAUUAUCAUGCCAAUGAGUCGCUGCUGCGAUGUUUAUUUUGAAAAUAUGAAUGUUUGCCGGUUGUAAUAAUAAGCAUUAUUAAUUAUUGCAUGGAAUUGAGAUGAGAUCUCUGUGAUAAUGCAGCUCCUGUUUCUCUGCUAGUUUAGUAUUAUGGAACUGCACCUUCUGAGUUUCCCCAAAUUUCAGUGUUAUCAAUGUGAAAUUUUUCAUCAUUUUCUGAAAGUGAGGGGCAAAAUUUUAUAAAAUGCUUGAGGAUGAGAUCUGAAGGAUAAUUUUUUUUUAUUUUUUUAUUUUGCACCUAGAUUAUUUCCUAUGUGCAAAAUUUGAAUGUGGCGAAAAACUGUGUGAUCUGGUAACGUUCAUGGCGCAAGGUGGUAUGAUUUUUAAUUGAGAUCAAAGUGCAUUUGCUAAUUUGUUGGCCUCUCUCUCUCUCGCCCCCGUCUCUCUAAUAUUCAAUUAGGCCUUUUCGGCCCAGUAGACUCAAAACUUAAUUGGGCCUGUCCACGUAACCAACACUUACUGGGUUUGUUGGGCCCCUUGGACUAGAAAAAAUGUGAAAUGGAGCAUUUUUUUGUCCCCUUCCAUACUGAUUCAUCUACUAAGUCCUCGUUGGGAUAUUCUUUUUUGAUUUUUAUUUUGUUUCCAUAUUCGUGGUUCAUAGCGAUUCCACGAGAAUUUUGAGAGAAAGAUAGCAUGCAAUCCGUUUCGUUUAUUUUUUUUUUAAAAAUAAACUUAGCAGAAAAUACAAAGCAAUUAGAUUUCUUGGAAUAACUGAGUACCAACUAUCAUGUUCUUUUCCAUUUGCACUACGGACAGUCGGGGUUGCUCAAUAAGAUUUUAAAUCAGCUCAGUGGUUGUUUCCAGAGCUCGAUGCCAUGUCAUAAGGCAUUUCUUGGUCACUUUCUGGUAAUCAACCAAAGUUGGAAUAAAAUAAACGCCUUAAGAUUUCCAAUUCCAAGCAAACUUGCUUACCCCAGUCAAAUUCAGCCACGAAAUGAUCAAUCACUUAAACGCGGAUUUCCUCCUCUACUGAUCCCAGAUUUGAUUAUUCGUGCUAUCUCAAUCACGUACAGGAAACCCAUUAAUGAAGAUAAUGACUCGCUUCAGAGAAAAGGAUAAAUGAUAAAUUUGAUCUGUUUCUCGAAAGUUGAAGUUCUAUAUAAUCGAGCAAAAUGCUAGUAGAAAACUUUUUAGUGAAAAGAAUUAUAAAUAUAUAUAUAUUUUUUUAAUGUCGUCGUUACUAAAUGACUUGUGUUCUAAUUAAUAAUGCGUGGAAACUCGACUAUAAAUAAGGUCACAAAUUGGAAUCAAAUGUGCAAAACGUAAAAUUUUGAGCUUUAUUUGAAAAAUUUUAUAGUUGAACUAAAUGGACCAAACAAGUCCCGAUCUUUGUGGUACCCAGCCCACACGUGUCACAUCGGGGUCCCACACGUAAUCAUCCUACGUGGCCACGCGUGUACACCUGGCUCCGCUUGGACGCUUUGGCGUGCAGCUAAGUCACCUCUGCGACUGCCACGUGCCGUUCAAUUUUCGCACCAGGGAGGGGAUUAUCCUACGUUGAUCUCCGCCGUGUGGGGCCCCCAACUCCGCCACCCCCACACCCACGUCCACGUCCACGUCGCUGAUACUCGGCACGUGUCCCGUUCCCUACCCCUACGUUUCGUGCAUCCUCGCCGUUGGAUUCUUAAUCAUCUCUCGUGCUUGCCACUUAACGGCGACCCCGCCGAUAAUCACCGCACAGGAGACACCCUUCACACCAAAGGCACAGCCCGACGCGAUUGCUGACGCACACGUGUCGACUAUUUACUCGUCUUGUAAAUACUACGCUGUUGGCUCCGUAACAGCUGAUGAGAUAUUUAUGUCGGCCAAGGAACUCAACGGAGACUUCUCCCCGCGACCGAGGGGGUUCACGGGGAACGGUAAGUCCUUAGUAGGGCCGGUUAACUGCCACGUGUCCCCACUUUUCGCGCCCAGUCGCUCCGCCCGGAUCGUACGAUCCAUAUCCAGAGGAAGCUACGCCGCCCCAUUCAUCUCCUUCCACGUGUCCCUCCCACACGCGUCAAAUGAUUGGACCAAUGUUUCAGAGCUCGUAAAACCCACGUACGCAACCCCGCCUAUAAAAUCGCACAAGCGAAGUACGCUUCGAACUUCGUUCUCAUUUUAUUCUGUUUUUUUUAUUUCUUUCAAAAAAAUCUUUCUACUGCUGCUGCGGCUGCUGCUGCAUUCUUAUUCUUUUUCUAUGACGCAUUUAUCGGCACGCCGGAUUCUUGAUCUUCCGGCGAUCGGCCCCUGCGACUCGAUCUCGCUGCCCACGCUUCUCCGCGCACUAAUCCGUGUAUCCGGAGCGAUCAUCGCCCGCCGAUCGGACGCAUUUCCAAUCCACCGCCGCAUAAUUCUCGAGACAAUUCGCGAGGUCGGCGUGCUUCAGGAGUUCUUCGAGGAUGUGGCGGAGCGCGGAACCGCACUUCCGGCUUCCGCCACGGUGGGCUUAUCGGAGCUUUACAUCGCGCUCCACAAGAUCCAAAACCUCAUCUCCGACUGCGCCCGGCGGGGGGCGCGCCUGUGGAUACUUGCGCGGUCCGACCGGGUCUCGUCGGAGUUCCGGCUGCUGAUCAGGUCCAUUUCGGUAGCUCUCGACGUGCUUCCCUUAGACGCCAUCGACGCGGCUCCGGAGAUGAAGGAGCUAAUCUUUCUUUUAUCGGCGCAAGCGCGCAAAGUCGGCGUCGAAGUCGAUCCUGCGGACGACUCCGCAGCUCGGACAGUUCGGUUCGUGCUGGACCAGUUUAAAAGUGGGGCCGCGCCCGACCCGGCCGAUCUGAGCCGGGUGCUGAAGCGAUUGGACGUAAGCACAUGGUCGGAGUGCGACGAGGAGGUGUCGUUCUUAGAAGAGGAGAUGUUCUCAUGCUUACAAGAGGAAAGCAAUGAAGUUGCUAUUUUCGGUACGUUGAUGUCGUUCAUGGUCUAUUGCCGCGUAGUUCUCUUUAUUACCAUCGACGGUGAAGGAGUUGGCCGUGACGAACGUGCGCGCCGAGCGUUCGAUACCAGUUCGCUUAAUCCACAAACACUGGUAUGCCCAAUUUCUCUUGAGAUCAUGAAAGAUCCUGUAACGAUCUCCACUGGUCACACCUACGAUCGUGUGGCGAUUAAGAAAUGGAUCAAAUCCGGUAGCUGCACGUGCCCGAUAACGGGGGAGAAGCUCACUAAUGUCGACUUCGUCCCGAACUCGUCUCUCCGACGUGUUAUCGAGCAAUUCUAUAGCAACAAGGGCGUCGAAAUCUCCGAGUCAAACACGAAGCAUACCUGGAAUAUAGAAAAGACCGCCACGCCGUUUAGUUCGGCUGCGGCCGGAGCGACUAAAAUGGCGGUGGCUUUUCUUAUCGAGAAGCUUGCAAAAGGAGGUGAAGAGGAGGAGAAGAGAAAGGCGGUUUACGAGAUUCGGAAGCUAUCUAAGUUCAAUCUAUUCAACAGAGCUUGUUUGGUCGAAGCCGAUGCGGUUCCGUGGCUUCUUUACCUUCUCUCCUCCUCCUCCUCCUCCGAUGCUUCGACCCAACUCAAUAUCGUUUCCGCAUUGUUGAAUCUUUCGAAGCACCCUAAUGGUCGAAAGGCGGUCUUCGAGGCCGGUGGUGUCGAUCUUAUAAUAGAUAUUAUGCGGGUCGGGCUAAAAGUCGAGGCGCAGAAUAAUGCGGCGGCGAUUCUUUUCUAUCUUUCUUCGGCCGACGAGUAUCGGAAAGAGAUAGGAGAGAUUAGAAGGGCUAUUCCAGCACUGCUGGAGCUGCUACAAGAAGGCUCUUACCGCGGUAAGAAGAAUGCCAUCACUUGUCUCUUUGGAUUACUCCAAUAUCCGGGAAAUCAUCGUAAGAUCGUAGCGGCCGGAGCUAUUCCCGUUCUUACAAAUCUCCUUUCGAGCGAUCACGUUGAUCUUGCGAAUGAUUCCGUCCAAGUCCUCGAAAAGAUUGCCGAGAGGGAUGAAGGAACGGAUGCUAUCAUCGGGUCUGCGGGCAUUGCUAAGAUUGCGGAGAUCCUAAGCUCGACGAGCUCUCGGUCGGGGAAGGAGCAUUGUGUAUCGCUUCUGCUGCAUUUGUGCAGCAACGGCGGAGACAAGGUUGUUAGUGUUAUCGAGAAGAUACCGCCGCUCAUAUCGUCAUUGUAUUCGAUCGUAACGGAGGGAUCCCCUCAGGCCGGCAGGAAGGCCAGGUUGAUUCUCAACCGCAUCCACCGCCGGUCCACGAUUUCGUGAUUCAUACACGGGUCACGUACAGUAGCACGAGUUCGCAGCUCAUCGCGCGAUUUAGUAAUAUUUCAUCGAUUUGUUUUAGAUGAUUAGAGGAUGGAAGCAUUCUUUUGUUCCUUUGAUUUUUUUUUCUUCGUUAAUGUCGUUGUUAUGAUCUCAGAUCGGUUUUUUAUGAGAUCUAGGGAUCAUGGAUUCAUAUGCAUGUAUGUGUAUGUAGAAUUGUGUGCAUAUUGCUAUUCAUUUAUAUGUUGUUUUGAUGCACUGAUGUACAUAAGAUUAGUCUUAUAGAAAGUUUAUUUUUUCUUUUUAUUUUUUCCGGAGAACUCAAGCUUUAGUUAGCUUCAGUGUACUAUCAUUAUUGAUGUUAUACUCUCUCUAUAAAUAUGCAUUACUAGUUAUGAAACAGUAACAACUGAUUCAAUCUAAAGGGACCGCCAACCGACUAGUCUACUAUAUGCCUAAACUACUCCACGUAUCACCCACAGAGUUGGCCGAUCUAAAUAGAAUGUCCCAAAGGACUACUGCGAUAAAAAUGCUAAAAUGGCUCACUCUGAAGCGACACUCGGAGGAGCAACCCAGCUGAGUAAAAAAACGUACUUUGACCGUCUCGCUCUUCUACCACUUGUUGAAGAAAGUGGCCACGUGAAAGAAAGAGGAGCACUCGAGCUCAAUCAAAUUCACGUAGACUAUAGUCAAUACUAAUACUCAAGCCGGUCAAAGAACCAAACCUUAUGUAAAAACAAAAUUCUAAAAUGCAACGGGUAUAUUGGUGACGUGGCGUAACAAAUCAAUCAAAUGUCUCCAUUUAAGAAUAUAUGUUCCAUCAUGAUUGUAAAAAAAAUAUUUUUAUUGUACUUUUGUUUAAAAAGUAUGAAUGUUAUUGGCUUAUUAUUUGAUGACGUGGUGCAAGUGUGAUAGUGUCUUCUACGCCAGAAGUGUACACGUCAUCAAAUAAUAGGCCAAACACUCACGGGAAACGUGCCUUUCAAGCCUGUGAGUGUUUGGCCUAGAGGCCAAUUUUGCAUAAUAUUUAUUAUGCAAUAUUUUAUUAUUUGAUCAACAUUGUUAUUCCCUUUUUUUUAUCACAUGGCCCGUAGGCCGUGACCCCUAGGCCCAACCCAUCCCAACUCACAUAUGGACUUAGCCAAUGGAAUACCCACUAGAAUAGUGCGUUUAUUAAAGCACCAUAGAUCUUUCAAGCAAAAUCGAUGUUACUGAAUUAAUACUUUUACUUGAUUUUAAGACUCACUAUUUAAUAUAUAUUUAUUAUUUUUAAAAAUCGAACUAAAAGAAAGGCCACCUACCCUAUUAUAUGGUUGAGCGAGGAGGGAAAAGGCUUCUUCUAGAAUGUUUUGUGAAACGCAGUAAUGGGUUUCCAAUUACUAACCAUAAAUGUAUUAUGUAACUACUCUUUUGAAUAACAAUUUAAUUAGUUAAAAGAAAUUAUUUGGUUGCAUGUAGUUACAAUUGUACUGUACUAAAAAUUUAAUGUUUGAUCUGAUAUGUUUAACUCAAACUGCUGGAGUAGGAACUGUAAUAAGAGGUCUAACUGCAGCAGUUGGAACUACGUCCAAAAUGACUGCAGUUCGGACUGCAGCAAUUGAAAAAAAUAACUUUAAACAAAAAACUAUGCUUACCCCCUUAAAUAUUUUUUAAAUAAAAAAAUAUUUUUUUUCCAUUGGAGAUAAUCUCACUAUCAAAUAUAUAAAAUGAUAAAAUUUAAAAAUUAUUUCGUAACUAUAUAUAACCAAAUAAAUUAUUUAUAGUUUCAAUAUUUUUUACUAUAUCUAAUCAAAUAGAAUGCAUUUAGUUGCAACCGUAUAUAUCUUCAACUAUACUGUAUUUAUAAUUAUAUCAAACCAAAUGUUCCCCAAGUAGCAAAUAUUAACAUCACAUACGAUCAGUGAUAUUUUAACAGUAAUAGAAUCCAAACAAGAACAAUAGAAAGUGAGCCGGUAUGAGCGUAGGAAUCUUUGGAACUUCCAUAAUUCUAUGCAUAAUCUCUUGUUAAUUUCUCUUGAUUAAAUUAAGAAUAAAAAGAGUGGAGUGCGUUUUCAAGCCACCACGUUUUGGUACCGUACCAUUCCUAAAUAAUAAAUGAUCAAGAUGUGUGCUCUAAACCUAAUGCAUUAGUUACAUCACAGAGUGGGGAGUAAUUAAUAUCGCGUUCAAUUUGGAACCAGUAAAAAGUGUUAAGUAGGCCUACUAAUAAUUUAUAUGAAGUUUUUACUAUUAAUUAUUAUUUUGGUUUUAUUUACUUUUAGGUAUGGUUCGGGAAUAAGUUUUUUUUUUUUUUUUGAAAAAUAGGUAGCUUAAAAUCGCUACCCGCUUCAUUCAUUAGGGGAAUGAAUUAGGCUUACAAAAUGGAGGCAGCCAAGGCCUCCGUAAGGAGAGAGAGCGACAGAAGCAAAAAAAACAAAAAACAAUGCAAAGACAUGGGGGAGGGGAAAAUAGAAGCGAGAAACAAAUCACAACCACAAAAAAUUACGGAAAACCGUUCAGCGAGGGGUGGUCCAAGAGGCGAACAGGAGCUUAAUUUGAUCCAAGCACCGGAUAGGAUGGGGGCACUGUCUCGAAAGAUUAUAGCAUUCCUUUCCGUCCAAAUUACCCACUAGAUUGCAGAGAGGAAGGAUAGGGAAGUAUUAUUUCAGACUAUCCCUGAGAUAGAUACAACUUUUGAAAUAAAAUUAAUUUUACGUUUGGAUGAGAAUUGAAUUUUUUUGGAAAUAAGCAAAAUAGCAUUCAGAUGGUUAGAUUGGAAGAGUAGGAAUAAAAAUAAUUAUAUUUUUAAUAUAAUAAUAUUUUAUCUAAUUAAUUAAAUAAUAAUUCAACUUACUUAAUUUACUAAUUAAUCAUUACUAUUGCUAAAUAGCCCUAAAUGUUAAUUAAUAAAUUAAUUAAUCAGGUAUAAUUUAAUAAUUUAAUAAAUUAAUUAGUUAGUUACAGCCAAAUAAUUAAAUUAGUAAAAAUAAUAAUUAAUUAAUCAAUAUAAAUAUUAGUUAUUAAAUAAGUACACUAAUAAAUAAUUAAUUAUUUAAUUAACAUAUUAAUUAAAAUAAUAAAUUAAUUACUCAAAUAGCUAAUUAAAUAUUUAUUAGAGUAAUAAAUUAAGCAGUACAAUUAAUAAUUUCAUAAUAAAAAUAAUAUAUUAUAAUAUAUAACAAUAUUAUGGCUAUAUAAUUUAGUUUUAAUUUAAUUAUAAAAUUUAAAAUUAAACUUUAGAAUAGUACUGUUACGCUAAAAUAAUAGAAUAGUAAAUUUUGAACUAUUCCAAAAUAAUAAAAAAAUAAUAAUAUUUAAUCGGAAUAAAACAUUUCAGCUCAAAAAAUACUCUGUUCGGUGGGAUAGCGGAGAUUUUCGUUAUCACUGUUUUAUCGGUGGUGGCAGAGUGUCGCAUCGCUCGAGCUGUCACUUACCCGGGGAGGCGGGGACUCUUCUUCUCCGAUUAAUUGUUGAUAUGAGCGUUGGCGGAGGAUCAAAUAAUUCAUAGUUCAUAGUUCGUAGUUCGUAGUUCGUAGUUCGUAGUUCGUCGCUCAUAUAUAGUGGGUAGUUUUAAUUAAUUUGCUGCGGAUCGAGAACAAAUUAAUUAAGCCACGAUGAUGAGUUCUUCGGCGCCCUCAUGCGCUUCCGAUGAUGCGCUCCCGAUCCCCCGCGUAGCGAUAUUCCCGUUCGUGUCGAAAGGCCACACCAUCCCCCUCGUCCACCUCGCGCGCCUCCUCCACCGCCGCCGCCUCCUCCUCCUCCUCCUCCUCCUCCUCCACCGCUGCACCACCACGACCUCUUUGCCAUUCCCCCCCACCACCGCGCNCUCCCCAACGUCCCGGCCGCGGCCGGGGGCGUCGAGAGCGCCGACCAAUUCGCCUCCGCGUCCCUCUUCCUCCCCUUCGUCCGCGCCGCGUCCCUCCUCCGCCCCGCCUUCUCCGAAUCCCUCCGCCGCCCCACUCCCCCGUCCCUCCUCGUCGCCGACGCCUUCCUCUUCUGGGCCCACGCCGCCGCCGCCGAGCUCGGCGUCCCCAGCGUCGUCUUCAACGGCAUGGGCGCCUUCGCCUCCGCCGUGAGCCUCGCCGUCACCGUCCACAAGCCCCACGCCGGCGUCGCCUCCCGGCUCGAGCCGUUCCCGGUUCACCCCUUCCCGGGUCUCCGGCUCACGAGGGCCGACCUCGCCCCGCCGUUCGACGACCCGGACCCGAAGGGCCCCCUCUGGGACUUCAUCGUGGAGGUAAGGGCCGCCACGCGGACCUGCCGCGGCACCCUGGUCAACACCUUCUACGAGCUGGAGCCGCUCUACGUGGACCGCUGGACCCGCGACCUCGGGGUCCGGGCCUGGUGCGUCGGACCCCUCUGCCUGGCCCGCGACGCCGGCCCCGGUCCGGACCGGUCCCCCGUGAUGGACUGGCUCGACUCCCGGCUCGCCGCGGGCCGGCCGGUCCUGUACGUGGCGUUCGGGUCCCAGGCGCGGCUGCCGUCUGCCCAGGCGGAGCAGCUCGCGGCCGGGCUGGACCGGUCCGGGCUGGACUUCCUCUGGGCGGUCCGGCCCGGCGAACCCGAGUUGCCGCAGGUCGGGGAGCGGGGGCGGGUGGUCGGGGAGUGGGUGGACCAGGUGCAGAUCCUGGCGCACGGGAGCGUGCGGGGGUUCGUGACGCACUGCGGGUGGAACUCAGUGCUGGAGAGCCUGAGCUGCGGGGUGCCCAUGCUGACGUGGCCGAUGAUGGCGGAGCAGUGCCUCAACGCCAAGUUCGUCGUGGAAGAGCUGCGCGCCGAGCGGCGCCGCAGACGAGACGUCGGUGGCGGCGGAGGACGUCGAGAGGAUGGCGAAGGAGCUGAUUCUGGGGGAGACGGGGAAGCAGGCGGCGGCCAGGGCGGAGGAGCUGAAGGCCAUGGCCAGGCAGGCAAUGGAGAGCGGCAGCGGGUCGUCGUGGACGGCGCUGGCGACAAUGAUUCACGACGUUUGUGGGAGUACUGAGAUCCAGAAAUAAAUUAAGCAAACACUAACAUUAAUGGUUUCUCUUCUUAAUUAGCCAGAUAUAUAUUAAUUCUUACUGCGCCCCUAUAUAGCAGUACGUACGUACUGAUCCUGGUUUUAGUUACCUCGAGUUAUAAUAAACGUCCAAUGAUCAUGUUGUGGAAUCGUAAUUUGUUAUGCUCCCGUUGCUCUUCAUUCAUUGUCCGAAACAUGUACUGGGAUUAGAGUGUUGUUAAUCAAACGCAACACCACUCGUUACCUUAUUACAAAUGUGUUUUCCAAAUAUUUAAUCUUUACCGUUUCUAAAAAGUCCGCUACUUUCGUAUUUGAUCUUCACAGUCAGAGGUUUUGAAAGUCACCGCUUUGUCAAAACUCAAAAGUGGUGGCAUAUCCACGUACGUAAUGAUCGAAAUUACAACUUCUUUGUAAACGUAGUUUCAUGAUCUUCAUGCUUAAUUUUGUGGUAAUCACAAAGUUUAAAAUUAAUGUUUUAAUGAUGUAAAAACUAAUAUGAUAUAAUAUUACUGUUUUUUUAAUUAUAUUAAUAAUUUGUUGCAAUUGCAUCUAAAUAUUAUUAUUUUUUAUUCCCGAAGAGAUGAAAGUGUAGAAGCUCAUAAUCUAUCCAUUGUUUUUUUUUAUCAUUUUUUAUGUACUUGUAAUUUGCUAAUAAAAUUACCUAUGAAUUAUAAUAAAUUAAAUUUUAAAAAGCAAUAGUAACUUUUAGAGGAGUCGUUGUCAUAAAGAGUGGCCACACAUUGUGCUUCGCUCAGACAGUGUUCCUGGCCAUCGCAACCCCAUCCCUCCGAGGUUCUCCGCCACGCUUAUUAUAUCACGCACCGUCGAAUCGAAAUUGCUGUGUUUGUGCACGUGUGGUGAGCUUCAAAGGGAAUGGCGUUCCGAGCUGCGGCGGUGGCGAGGCCUCCUCCUCCUCCUCCUUCUCCUUCUUCUUCUUCUUCUUCUUCGACCAAGCCCAAUCCCCGGGCGCUGCGUAGGGCAUCUUCUUCUUCUCCACCUCGCUCCCACGCUUCCCCCGCGGCGCUCUCCCUCGUCGCCCUCUUCGCCACUUCCGCUUCCUACUCCGAGGCCAAGGCUCUCGCCUUCUCCAAAGAGAGCAUCGUCGAUUCCCUCACUAAGGCAUUGUUGCUCCUUCACCCUCUCUCUCUCUCUCUCUCUCUCUCUCUCUCUCGGUAGGAAUGUUGUUGAGUAAGAAAAAAAUAAUUAGAUUUUUUGUACGAUUCAGGGGAGUAUAAAUGAGCAAUUUUGAAACCUUUAAUGCAAAAUUGCCGAAUCUUUUCGAACUUGUUUUGAUUUUAUAAAAAAAAAGAAAUUUCUAGAGCAGAAAUAAGAUUUUAAGCCUCAACAACCAAAGCCUUGCUUUGGUGCUUCUUAUUUUGCUGUAGAAAUAAGUUACCGAGGGUAUUUUAAUGUGUAUAUAUAUAUAUUUUUUGCUCUAGUAUUUAAUAUCCCUGCUAAGUUUAUGCGAAUUGCUAGAGAACUCUUCUUAAAUUACAUUGAAACUCCUAAAAUUCUUGAAAAUUUGCUCUAUUUUGAUUAGGUGGAGAGCACAAUUGACCAGGUUGAGGAUGUGGGUUCCAAAGUUGUGGACUUCACCCUGAACAUAUUUAAGGUCUUGAGUGAUACACUGAAGCCAGGGGUCGACGCCGCGCUUCCGGUCCUCAAAAGUGCUGGCGAGGAAGCGCUUAAGAUUGCUUUGCCGGUCGUUUCAGAUGCUUCUAAGCUGGCCAAGGAGGCUCUUCAGAGUGCUGGUGUUGAUCCCAGCCCUGUUUUGUCUGCUGCCAAGGUUGAUCCCUGUUAUUUCUUUCUAUUUCUUGUUUGAAUUCGCCAAUUUCUUCGAAUGCUUUAAUCGGAUCAUUAUACGAUGAUAUUUUAAUAUCUUAUAUUCAACUCUGUAGACCUAACACUUAUCAGAUCGUGUAGUUAAUGUUGGAUCAGAUUGUUUGCAUGUGUGGGAUCUUUUCAAGUUUCAAUGUACCAUAUUAACUACUUCACAUUCUUAUUGAGUUUUUGUAAACUCCACAAAGUUAUUUAACAUUCAUGACAAGUAAAUUGGUUUGCUCAAAGACUGAUACUUUUUUUUAUGUCAGUAGACAGUUGCAGAUGCUGCGAAGCAGAGCACAAAGGUCAUAGAAGGCGCAAAGCCUAUUGCCUCUGCCACUGUUGAGACAAUUGCAUCAUCGGAUCCUUCGGUGAUUGUUGUAUCAGCUGGAGCUUUAUUUCUUGCGUAUCUUCUCCUUCCGCCAAUUUGGUCAGCAGUUUCUUUCAAUCUUCGGGGUUAUAAAGGUACAUUAUUUGGUUCAAGGCUAUGAAAUUUUCUUUUCUUGCCCACAUAGUUUUUAAGAAUUAGAUUUUGAGAAGGUGGUUCAACAUAUCUUUAAUCAGGAAGAAGCAUUACGUCGCAGAGGAAUGCUAUGGCAAUUUCCAUACUAUGAAGAAGGAGAAAAUGUUUUAGUUUAUUAUCUAUGCUGUGUUUAAUUUCGUCAAGUUACAGUGGAUUGAAUCGAAAAUAUAUGGUGGAGUUCUUGGAAAUUGUUUCAACAGAAAGUAUGGCUAAAAUUGUUUUGAUGGCAACGCUCGCUCUAACGGAAAAAAACUUUUUGAUCAAAACUUUUUUUGUAAUUGUAGACAGUUCAUUUAAUUGAUUUGAGAUUUCAAAAUCCGCAAAAGCUACUAGUGAAUGACACAAGAAAAUAGCUCUGGUACUCUAUGAGUAAGAUAGUAAUGUUUUUUUUUAUAUUUUUUAUUUUCAUAUAGCCUGAGUUGUAAGUGAUUUGUUUUUUUUUUUGUUUUUUUUUUUUUAAAGAGUGUAAAAAACAUGGGAACUUAGAAAGAUCUGAGAUUACACAUCUACAGUUUCUGUGUUGGAGGUGGUCUUCAUGACUUCAUGUUAAUGUCGAGUUCAUUAAUUUCUCUUUUUGGUAGGCGAUCUCAGCCCUGCUCAAUCUCUUGACCUUAUUUGUUCGCAAAACUAUCUUAUGAUCGAUAUACGGUCGGAGAAAGAUAAGAGUAAAGCUGGAGUACCUCGGCUCCCCUCUAGUGCCAAGAGCAAGAUGAUCUCUGUGCCGUAAGUCUUUUCCCCUCAUAGCUUCUUACUUCAAGCAAUUACGGAAUAACCUGACAAUGGAACCCCAUUUUCUGUAGUUUGGAGGAACUACCUAGCAAGAUAAAAGGCUUGGUGAGGAAUGUGAAGAAAGUUGAGGCAGAAAUAGUCGCAGUAAAGAUUUCGUACCUCAAGAGAGUCAACAAGGGUUCUAACAUCGUACUAAUGGACUCGUAGGUUUUAUUUAACUCAACUUUUACUUUAUUAAUCACUUUUUUUUUGUUAUUUGUGGUUUUAUUAGAAUAAAGUUCCUGAAGUUUGAUUUCCAUUUUAAUGUGACUCAAUUUUGAGAAUAUUGUAACUGAAUGCUCCUCCCGCGUAACAGUUUUGAGUCUGAUCAAUAUCAUUGUUACAGUUUUCUUAGGUUGGUAGACUAAAAUUGUUUGCGGAAAACUUAAAGGUGAAACAGAAAUUCUGAGAGCACAAUUGAAAUCUGAAAUCGGACUUUACGGACUAAAUAAAAUUGUUUCGAUCUCUCAAUUUUUUAUUUCCCCUGUUAAUGAGAGUAUGUUGCUGAAAUAUGCAGGUAUUCUGAUACGGCGAAAACUGUUGCGAGGGCGCUAACUGGUCUUGGCUUCAAGAACUGUUGGGUCAUGAAGGGUGGCUUCUCUGGGGGAAAUGGAUGGUUGCGAAGCGGACUAGGGACGGACUCGUACAAUUUGUCGCUCGUCGAGGUUUUGUCACCUUCAAGAGUUAUCCCAGCGGCCGCUGCGCGGUUCGGUACCACAAGCUCGACUGCUUUCCAGUCAAACAGGAAGCUUCUUCCGGGGAGUGCUGAUUAGUUUAUAUAUAUUUUUUCUACCGCAGCUCUUGUUGUAAUCAGUAAUUUGUAACUUUGAGAUAGAUUCGUCGUCAGUUUAUACAAUAUGCCGUUUCUUUGUGUCAUCAGUUGUAGUGUUGUAUGUGAAAUUAUUCAUUUCAUUUUACUCGGACCACAUAGUUGCCAUGGGUUCGCAUUCUCUUAAAAUGGAAAAGGAUAAUAUUUAGUGGCUUGUAAAAUUGAAAUUUAUUAGCUGAUUCUUGUUUGAUGUGACAGAUCAGGUUUGGACAAUAAUUACGUGUGAGUCGCGACUAAAAAAGGACGGGUGCUAUUUUUAUCGCUUGCGCUAGAGAUGAUUUGUAGGAAAAUUAGCAAGAGUUUUUAUUUUUGUUCAUGAUUUUGGAACUUUGAUGAGACUCUUUUGAGGUUACGGUGUUUAAAAAUAUCCGUAAAAGAGAGGUGGUAUGAAAAAAAUCGAAUCGGAUCCUCAUGUAUUAGUAUCCGACCCGGUAACAUCCCUAUCUUCUUUUUAAAGCUUGCUACCGAACUUGACCAACCAUUCCAAUUAUUCGUCCAAUCACGUACUCUUUUUCUUUUUUCAAAUAAAAAAGUUGUGCUCGAUUUUAGCCCUUCGCCCACUACUAAAUUGCUUCUCCCUCCCUACUCACAAAAUAAAAGAAAAGGAAAAAUUGCAACAUUUUCGGGUUUUUCGGGUUAAUUUUUUUGAGGAUCACGUUAAUGUAAAUAAAUCCGAACCCGCAGCAUAACCAAGAGUGGCGUCGUCUUCUUACUCGUCGUCGUCGGAGGAGGAGAGAGAGAGAGAGAGAGAGAGAGAGCGAUAGAGAGAGAAACACGCGGCGGAGCUCGGCGGAGAGUAUAGAGGGGUGCGAAUGGCGUACGCGGCGCUCGAUCGGAUAUGGUCGGAGGACAUCGCCGCCGUCGGAGUGGCAUCGGACGAGGCCGAGAAGCUCCGCGUGGCGCUCCGUGAGGUGCUCCGGGAGUCCGGGAGCUCGGGACCCGAGGCGUGGAGGGAGAUAUCGAAGCGCCUCCUAAACCCUAAUCUCCCGUUCGCUUUGCAUCAGAUGCUGUACUACGGGUGCUACAAGGAUUACGAUUCCGAUACUCCCCCCGCGUGGAUUCCGAACAUGUAAUCCCCUCUCUCUCUCCUCUAUCUCGAGGCUAAUAAAAGAAUUAGAAAAAGAAAAUAGAUGUUUUAUGAUAUUAGGUUGUUGAAAUUUGGUUUUCAAAUGUUUAGUCGGAGUCAUUUCUGGGUUGUUUAGAUUCAGUUGGAUGCAGAAGAGCUUGUAGGCGAAAUUGGAAAAGUUAAUAAGCUAACUACUCGUGGGUUAAAUCUUGUAAAUUUGAAGUAGCGUGAUGCGAUUAGAAGUAGCAAGAUGAGUUUUUGGCGACAAAGUUUCGUUUCCUGGGGGAGGAUAUUGGAGAAAAGGAGAAUAAAGAUUAGUUUUUUUAAGAUACCGUACUAAGUUGCGUGAUUAGAUAACACUUGUAUCAUAAAAGAUGUCGUAAAAUGUUCAUCGACGAAUCUCUUUGUUGUUUGCUAUUUGCUCAGUUAUUUUUCUGUCGCGACUGUUCCUCGAAAUUUUGUUGAAUGGCUAAGUAUGAAUGAGCAGAGAGGAAGCAGUCUCAACAAAUAUUGGUCGGUUAUUAGAGAAGCGCGGGAAAGAAUUACUUGGCUCGGCAUAUAACAAUCCUAUAGCUAGCUUUUCGGACUUCCAGAAAUUCUCUGUCUCGAACCCUGAGGUAUUUCUGGAAAAUUCCCAUUGUUGGUUGUUCAUUAUGUAAUAUUACGAACGCAAUUGGUCUCUAUGUUUUUUUUUUUUUUUUAAUAUUCUCCUUACAGGAAUACUGGAAAAUGAUUUUUGAGGAGAUGAGGAUAAAAUUCAGCGUGCAGCCGUCAUGCAUUCUGCGUGAAAGUGAUUCUUAUCCUGGAGGUCAAUGGUUACCCGGGGCUUAUUUAAAUUCUGCUGAGAAUUGCUUGAUUUUGAAUGGUAAAAGAGAUGCCGAUGAUGUCGUGGUGAUAUGGAGAGAUGAAGGCUGUGAUGACAUGCCUGUCAAUCGAAUGACACUUGAGGAAUUGAGAGCAGAAGUCUGGUAAUGUUUAUAUCAUCAAAAGAGCCGUCUACUUUUGAACCUUUUUUCUUUGGCUGUCUACUUUCAAUUUGAAUGUGCUUGUUUUUUCUUUAAUGCUCGAAUGCGUCUGCUCUUGUCAUCCUAUUUGUUUCUCCGGUUAAAAUGGGAAUGCAACUUGUCUUUUCUUUUUCCUUUUUUUCUUAUUGAAGAACACUUGUUUUCUCUACUAGUUAUCUCAUCUUAAUCUUAUUUCCAUUAUGUGUCCCGAGAGUUCUUUUUCCAGGAAAUCUUUUUUUUUUUUCUAUUGAUAUAUCUAAGAUAAACUUUUAUUAUUCAAGUUGGUGAAAAGUAAUAAUGGCAUUUAAUUUUGCAGUACUGUGGCUAAUGCACUGGACUCACUGGACUUGGCAAAAGGAUCUGCUAUUGCAAUUGACAUGCCGAUGCAUGUGAAUGCUGUAGUCAUCUACCUUGCUGUUGUGUUAGCAGGCUAUGUGGUCGUCUCCAUUGCUGAUAGUUUUGCUUCUACUGAAAUAUCAACAAGACUCAAAAUUUCAAAUGCAAAAGCAAUUUUUACUCAGGUCAGCAUUUAUCAUUGCUGAAUUGGAUGAUUAACUGGCGAGUUAUGCUUUUUUUUCUCUAAAGCUGUAAUAUUUUCUCUAGCCGGCCUAGACUUGCCUAUUUUGCCUAUGCUUAAGCUAAUCUUUGUAUUAUUGGCAUACAAUUGCUGUCUUUCUUUGCUGGCAAAUCUGUAAUGCUGGUAGAUAAGAUAAAUGUCCUUGAGUCCUCUUACAGAUGAAAUUCAGAGUUUGAGUAUCCAUUGAAUCCUAUCAUUUUGGUUUAUUUUUUAUUAUGCAGCUCUUUACUCUUUCGAAGCGAUUUUGAACGCUCGUUUACUAUUUAACUUUAUGGUUGUAGGAAUAUAUCAUUCGUGGUGAAAAGAAACUUCCCCUAUAUAGGUGCUGUAAUGGUCUCUUCUUUUCAUAUACGCCAGACCUGGUAGAUUAUAACCCUUUCUCACGCUGUAAUUUUGGUAUUUCAGUAGAGUUGUUGAUGCUCAUGCUCCGCUAGCUGUUGUGCUCCCUACAAAAGGCUCCAACUUCAUAGCAGGAUUGCGUGACGAUGAUAUAUCUUGGCAUGACUUCUUGGGAAGAGUGAAACAUAUCAAGUAUGAAUUAUGAAAGCCUUUUGCUCAUGUGUUCCCUUUUCUCUUUCCACUUUUAUAAUAAAAAUAUGGUUUUUUUUGGUCAUUUAUAUUCUCAGGAUUCCCUGUGAGUUGAGUAUCUUUUAAAUAUUUUGAAUUGUAUGAUGAGAGAUCAUGGUCAAGUGUGGUGCUAACUUUCGUCAAAUUGCACUAACACCUAAUAAUUCGAAUCUACUUGCUUUUCUAUUCCAAGUUUCCGAUGAAAGUAGAUAGUAAUUUAUCUCAUGAAGUAUAUUCUUGUAGGCGUUGUACAAUGUUUCUCUAUUUCUAGAUAUAUAAUGAAGUUUCUCGAGCUUUGGAGAAUAUAGAUCUAAAUCGACUAUCACACACAGCGGAUAUUUAGGAAGUUCUAAAUCUUUAUUACUUAUUUGGAAACUACAGAUAUAAUGAUUACGUGGCAGUAGAACAACCCAUAGAGGCCUUCACAAACAUCCUCUUUUCCUCGGGGACUACAGGUGAGUUUCAUUGUUCUUAAUAUUGCAGCCUUUUUCUGCAUCCUAUAAACAAAGGUAGGCUUCAGUAGUUGUAAUAGUUGUGUUUUCAAUAAUUAUGUAGAGCUAAAUUAGGUUCCUUGGCCUAUUAUCACAAUAACAGUAUCACCUAAACAUUAUCAGAUAUCACCAGUAGUCCUAAAUACUAUCUAGCUUGCUUCUUUUCCUUUUUCCUUUGCUUGGAAUGCUGUUUAUGCUGAAUGGGUACAAGGAUACAGCACAAAAUGGUGUAUAACAGAAAAAUCACGUGCAGCAUGUGUGUAUAUCAUGUUAAAUCAAAUAUGUAAGUUGCGACCUUGCAGCCUUAGUGUGUCAGUGAAAGUUUCUAUGUUCAUUCUUAUAUGUACUAACAUAUAUAUAUAUAUAUAUAUAUAUAUAUAUAUACAAGGAUUUAAGUGUCGUGGCACGAGGUUGUGUCGGAAACUUACCGGCACGGUGCGUGCCGAGCCGUGCCGAGCCGUACCGAUACGUGCCGGUCAAAAAAAUUCUUGUGUGCCGACACAUAAUAGUAUGAAAUAUUUAUUUUCUUUAGCAACAAAAUAUUCUAACUAUUUAUUAUGUCCUUUUAUCACAUCUUUUGAACUUUAUUGAGGAAAUUACUUACUAAUUUAAAGAAUAGAAGGUUUUGAGCUGUGCCAUCGGCACGGGAUCUGUAUCGUGCCGGUAUCUUGUUGGCACGAUACGGCACAGUGGAUACGGUCCGUGCCGACGGGCACUUAAAACCUUGUAUAUAUAUAUAUUUACAUCUAAAUGAAGCAUAUACCAGUAUUGAAUCCUUCACCAGAUAAAGGAGUGCCAAACUUGGACAAAGGAAAACUUGUUAGGAAAAUUUAUUUCGUAAUGUUUAAGUCCAUAAAAAGUCCAUGAAACCUCCCCACUUCUUCCAAACUUAAUUUUGGAUUUUUUAUAAUAAAUUAGUUUGAUUAAUUUCUCAUCUAGUAUAAGCUUUUCUGUGGGUCUUUGGAUAUUUAAUCAGUUAUAUCAUAUUUCAUUAUUCCCAAAUGUCAAAUUACCUUCUUUGUUUGUCCUUUCUCAGGGGAACCAAAGGCAAUUCCAUGGACACACGCAACUCCUCUAAAGGCUGCUGCUGAUGCAUGGUGUCAUAUGGAUAUCCGCAAGGGUGAUGUUGUUGCAUGGCCUACUAAUCUUGGUUGGAUGAUGGGCCCUUGGCUUGUUUAUGCCUCAUUACUGAAUGGAGCUUCCAUGGCACUAUACAACGGCUCCCCUCUUGGUUCAGGUUUCGCAAAGUUUGUGCAGGUACAUUAAAUUCAGACACAAAAUUCUUGGAUAUGAUGAUACUUUUGACUGGUUAGCCACAUUGCUUUGCCUUCUCUUUUGGACUCGGUGGGCACUUGGUAGUGUACUUACCCAAUGUUUUAAUGGCUUCUCAUCUGCAUGUAUUUACACUAUUUAUUGUCUUCUUCUUGAUACUAUUGAAUUGUGUGAACAACUUACAAAACUCAAAAAACAUUUCCGCUUAUAGUACGGAAACUUUUUUUUCCUUUAAUUGGUAGGAUGCUAAGGUAACAAUGCUUGGCGUGGUUCCAAGUAUUGUCCGUGCUUGGAAAAACACAAAUUGCACUGGGGGCCUUGAUUGGUCUACUAUUCGGUAAGAUAAAGUUCCAGAUUGUGCAGCUUUUCAGUUUUCAUAUGUUACCUUAUCAGUUUAGCGACCAUAGGAAUAGAAGUGCAUCGAGUUGCUUUCCCAAUUCCCGUACUAGAAGUCGUGCCCACAUGAUCUUCUUUCUUUUCUUCUUUACACAUUGGUAGAUGCUUUGGCUCCACUGGAGAGGCAUCUAGUGUAGAUGAGUACCUAUGGUUGAUGGGAAGAGCGAACUACAAGCCUGUCAUUGAGUACUGUGGAGGCACAGAGAUUGGAGGCGGAUUUAUUACCGGCUCACUGCUACAGCCUCAAGUGUUAUCUGCAUUUAGUACACCUGCUAUGGGAUGCAGCCUAUUUAUUCUUGACAGUGAUGGAAAGCCACUAGUAAGUUUAAUUCAGCAUCUCAUUCUUUAAUGGAAGCUUGCAUAAAUGUGGUUAAAAUUGUUAAUCCUUUCAUUUACUGUAGUUUAGAAAUUUAGGGCUUUUAGGAAAAGUUUUGCAAGCAAUUGCUAAGCAGUGUUUACCAUGUUCUGUUCUUUAAAUUGUAGAAGAAGCUUGCAUAAAUGUGGUAAAAUUGUUAAUCCUAUCAGUCAAUGUAAUCUAGAAAUUGUAUUAGGGGUUGUAAGAAAAGUUUUGCAUGCAAUUGCUAAGCAGCGAUUACCAUGUUCUUUUCUCUAAAUUGCAGCCGCCGAAUAAAGCUGGGAUUGGAGAGCUAGCUCUUGAUCCAACAAUGUUUGGAGCAUCUACCACCUUACUAAAUGCUAAUCAUUAUGAUGUCUAUUUCGCAGGCAUGCCAGUUUGGAAUGGGAAGGUAAUAGUAAAUCUGAGCCUUUGUUGUCGCCCCAAAGAAUUUGUAUGUUUUCAAUCUAAGAUAUCAAAUGCAGGUUCUCCGAAGGCAUGGGGAUGAAUUUGAACGGACAGCUGGAGGGUAUUACAGAGCACAUGGUCGUGCAGAUGACACUAUGAAUCUUGGUGGCAUUAAGGUUAAACUCGAAACAAAAGUAAAUCGACUCCAAGACCAUAACUAAGCUUACGUAAUUCAAUUGAUAUCACUGUUUGAUAUUUAUGCUUAGGUAAGUUCCAUUGAGAUCGAAAGAGUUUGUAAUGGAGUUAAAGAUACAAUUCUCGAGACUGCUGCUGUUGGGGUCCCACCGCUUGGUGGUGGUCCUGAACAGUUAUUCUUGGCAGUCGUCUUCAAAGAUCAGAGUAAUGUGAAAGAAGACCUGGAUCAAUUGAAGAGGGAAUUCAACUCUGCUUUGCAGAAGAAACUGAAUCCUCUCUUUAGGGUACUCUUUUACCUUUUGCUGAUAUUCUUUCUUUUCCUUGCUUGGAAGGUGGUAUGUGAAAUGUGUACAAACACAUAAUAUUUCAUUAUCUUUUCCCUCUUAACAGGUUUCAUCUGUCGUUGCUGUGCCAUCUCUUCCUCGAACCGCGUCAAAUAAAGUCAUGAGAAGAGUUCUGCGGAAAGAAUUCUCUCAGCAGAGUCAACGGGCUAAAUUCUAAACAAUCCGAUCUUAUCUAUUUACAAUGUCACAAGUUGAUGCUGCAGUGUAUAGUAUGUCUCCUGUAAUCUCCGAAUUCUCUCAAGUAUAUUAAUUGUUAUGCAUUCUCUGUCCUUUUCUAAAUUUUCAGAUAAAGCAAUUAUUCUCCAUGCAGCUAUUAUUGCUGCUAUCAGAAAUGUAUAAUCUGCUUAAUACCAUUUCUAGUUUGAAAACAAAAAAUGUUAUUAACUAACAAAUUUUGAAUUUUUCGGAGUACACAACUUAAUUGCAAUUUAGGGAUCUACACUCUCAGCAUCUGAAGCAGCAUGUCAUUCCACACAUCUAUCGGCCCAGGCAAACACCAGUGCACGCAAUCGUUGUACAGUGUAACUUUCUCGUUCGCCCGGUGCCCGUAUCUGCUUGGGUGCCCAUCGGGCCUCAACAACAUUGCUUCUGUAGUAUCCAUCAGCAUAAGUUUCACCCCCUUCUUUCUCGCUUCCUUCUCCGCUUCCCUAAAUUCCUCUACUUGCAUGUUAUAAAACUCGGCCUCCAAUCCCUCCAACCUUGUAUCAUUGCUUCGAAACGGCCAUGUCCGCAUACAGUUUCCUCCCUUGUUCCAUUCUCCAUUCUCAAAGUGAGAUGGUGACACCGUUCUUAAAAUCAUCUUUCCUUUGAAGUUAAGCUCAUUGAUGGUUCGGAGUGCAGUUCUAAAAGCCAUUCGGUGAGAGUAGCGGAGAGUUAGGUCCGUCACAUUGUCGUCUAGGCAGUAGUGGCAGCCAACGAGCCGACCCUUCUCGUAGAACAUUGAGGAUCGAGUGAACCAGUUGCUUGCUGACAUGAUUAUGUAGUCGAACCGGCUUAUUUGGGAGGCCCAAUUGUCGUCGGCUUCAUCGAGGUAGAGGUUCCAUAGGCCGGUGUGAGUUGGGCCGUUUGAAUCUAUUUCAUGGGCUUUGAUCAGAAAAGGGGACCAGAAGAUCAAAAUGGUGAAACCGUAGCUUCUGAAGAUCAUGCGUUUGAAGUUUGGGUCCCUGGAAUCAGAGAUGUCCUUUGGGUGCUCUACCUGAAAAAAAAAAAAAUUAUAUUUUGCAAGCACUGAUCCCAGAAAUUUCGUGUGCUAUGCUCUUUAUUACUAUGUAUGAUUUUUGAUUCUUUUCAUCUUCACCUGUAUUUCUAGUUAACAUAAUGCAUCAUUAAUAGUUACAAAUAUGAUUCUAUAAUGGUAAGAUUUUAUAUGUCUGAAAACGCAUUCAUGAUUAUUGUAGAUAACAGAAUAGAGUUCAAAGCGAUCGACAAGAAGUUGAACCUGUGACAUUCAAGACUGUAUAGAGAACUUCAGGAGAAGAAAUCAUCAGAAUGCCAUAACUGAAUCAUCAUAUGCGAAUGCAGCAUCAGGUAAUCUACGCCUUCUCACCCAAUGGCAAACAAUCCUAAUACAAUAGAUGAAGCUUGAUUUUUAUUUUUUUUUUCCCUUUUCUGUCUUUAUGGGCCUUUGAUAGUGAGAUCUAAUUUCAAAUGGGUCUUUACUUGCUGUGUAAACUACAAUACAUUCUACUGCUGAGAAUUUUUCAAUCAUGGAUUUGUGUGGCUUCAGGUCAGACUGGGUGUACACAUUUUAUUUACAUAGUCAAUAAUUAUUAGUAAAUCUUUUGAGGGAUUUCCAUUCGAUGCAAAUCGAAAAAUCAUAUUUUCUAAAUAAUAUUGGCUGUGUCAUUACCUUUGACAAGAGACACAUCAAGGACUGCAUAUGGUUCCUAGCCAAGGAGUCCCCCACAAAUGCCAGGGAUCUGUUCCUCAUGAGAUCGAGGAACCUCUCUGGGUCGAACCGCGGGAGUUUGCAUCCCUCGGGCUUCCAUUUCCACUUCAAGAAGUUGAGGUCUGGUUUGCCAUACUUGAUGCAGUUCUGGUGCUCUUGGAUCAUAAAACAAGUCAUGUUUGUGUAGUAUGGCAUCUCCGGAUCCCAAAUCCAUUCUCCCUUGAAUAUGUUACACUCUUUAACCAAGCUAAUAGAAUUCGAAUUAGGAGGAAAGGGAGAAGAAGAAGAAGAAGAAGAAGAGGAAGAGGAAGAGGAAGAGGAAGAAGAAAGAGGAGGAUCACUUGUAGGAGAAAAAGAAACUUUGUAUGGGUUGGGGUGAAGAAAAGAGGGCUUAUAUAAGCUGAUGAUGGUGAAGAAUAGAAGGAUUAGCGCUGAAACGAAAACUAAUUUUGAAACACUUUGUAGGUUGUGAUGAUGCCUCAAGAAGGGGAGUUUGAUUAGAGGAGACCUCAUUGAAGAGUUAGAAGAGGAGGUCAGAGAACCAAGGUAUGAAUUAGCGCUUGAGACUCAGAAAGAACGGGGCUAGUUCCUUUAUUUUCGUUCAUAGAAUAUAUCCAGUGUUGGAGUUUAGGUAAGUGUCGUGCGGGCCAUGUUCUCCACUUGUUUGUAUAUAAAAACUUAUAUUAUCUGAUUCACAUGGCUGAGUUGGCACUACAAGCCCAUCUCAUCAUCUUCAAGCUUCAACCCUUAGAUGUGUUGUUGAUUUCGUCACUAUUAUUAUCUUAGGUCUUCCAAACCCACUUCUAAUAUUGGUCCACAUCGAUUGAGGUUACAAAUAGAUCGUUUGCAAUAAUCUAUAAAUUCAAUAGUAUAUUUCUUUCAAAGAUCGCUCAUGUGAUUCUCAUGGCCACCGACAUAGACUAGAGGCACUGAUUGACUAAGUAAAUUAAUUUUUCAGUGGAAGCAGUACUGGACUGCAUGUCUUGUUUAAAUUACUAAUAAUAGUUUUGGGGGCAAGAACAGAUCACAAUGUCAGGUGUAAUGGUCCUGUUUUAUGCUGGGUGUGUGUGUGUGUGUUGUAAUUUUCAGAACUCCAGGCUGGGAAACUAAUAUUUUUAUAAACAAAUUAAGAUCACUGUCAGAUCUUGGGAAGACUUUACUUAGAGUUAGGGAUUCGGGAUUCUCAAACGAUAAUCCAACAUGCAGGAUUCAAAGAGCUUUUAGGUAGGGGAUUCUCAAAAGAUAGUCUAAAAUGCAGGAUACGAAAACCUUUUAGGUAGAGGAUUCUCAAAAGAUAAGUCUAAAAUGCAGAAUACAAAAGCUCUUUUAGGUGGGAUUAUGGGAAUGCCAACGGAUCAAGCCAACUAUCGGGUCGAGCUUACGAGAACAAAGGCUUCAUCAUAUGUUUUAGCUUAAUCACUUGAUCAUACACAUGUUAGCAUCCAUGUGCAUAGCAUGUGUAUAUGUAUAUGAUCUAAUAAUAUUAUUGAGAUAGAUAUUUCUGAAGCCAGCCAAGGAGUUGGUGCUUUUGAUUUUGAGUCCUUAGAUGGAGGUGUUGUAAUGGCUGGAUAAGUAAUAGCCCACUUGGGUUGAGUAUGUAGGUGGAAUGUAUUUGAUUCGAAGAGGCUAUUAGUAGUCAAAGGUAGAUUUUGGGCUAAAAACCUAAAAACACAAUAGGUUGGUGCUUUUAAGAUGUAUUCUUAAUCAAUAUAUAUAUCUAUAUUAUUAAUAUAUAUAAUAUAUAUAAUAUAAUAUAAUAUAUUAGUAGGGCUAUGAAUACUCUGUAAAAGUAUCAUGGGAUGAUACUUGUUGUUUUUAGCCCUUAGAUGGAGAGAUGUGAGGUUGAGAUAAGAUGUGGUAGGUGGCUGAACAUAGUGUUUAAUCCAAGGCUAUUAUAAUCAAAAAUCGAUCCAGACUGCGCUUAAAACCUAAUAGCACCAUGUAUAUACUUGUAAAAAGUAUCAUAGCUCACUCUAUAUACUAUAUAUAUAUAUCUUAUAAUUAUAUAUAGUAUAUAAUAUAUAUCAUAUAAGAAGCAUGACUGUUGUACUCCUCAAGGAGCAGGAGGCCCUCUGGCUCCUGAGCUGUUUUCGGAUGAUGGAAUUCGAAUGCGAACAGUCGCACCCUCCGUUAGACUUGAUCUAGCGUAUUUGAAGUUUCUAGAAAAUAUUUUUUGUGAUUUUUCGAUAUCAUUUACCUAGCAAUCGAAAGGAUUCAAAAUCAAUAAUUUUUAACGGCUGAAAAUAAAAUUCCUAUAAAAAGUGGUGAUAUAGCACUAAAACUUUCGAUCAGAAAUAUUGAUCUUGUUGUAGAUAGUAUAAAGAAUGUUGUAUCAAAAUUUUAUCUGAUUUGAAUACUUCUAUACCGUUAAACUUGAAACAGCAGAUAUUAACCAUUAAAAAUUAUUGACUUUGAAUCCUUUCGAACACUAGGUAAAUGAUAUAAACAAAUCACAAAAAUUAUUUUCUAGAAACUUCAAAUACGCUAGAUCAAGUCUAACGGAGCCGAUCAUCUAUUCGAAAAUACCAUCAUCGAAAACGGCUCAGGAGCACGGAAACUUCCAUGCUCCUGAGAGCACANGAGAGAGAGAGAGAGAGAGAGAGAGAGAGAGAGAGAGAGCGAGUGAGCUUGAAAUUUGAAAUUGUUCAGAUACUUAACAUGGGUUUCUGGGAGGAGAGAGAGAGAGAGAGAGAGAGAGAGAGAGAGAGAGAGAGAUAGAGCAAAAUUUGAAGGGUGGUGGAGAAGAUGGCAAAGAGAGAGCACUUUCAGAGGCCGAGGUCACAGAUGCCUACCUUUAUGAAAGAAUGGCAAGGAAAGAGACAGUGCAGAAAAGUAUGUAUGUGAAGCAUAAAAAUGGUGUCAAUUUAAAACAAUCAACAUCGAUCUUCAUAGAUGUUGGACCUCACUAGUCUCAGUACUAACACUAGCUGUUGCUUUCGCGGGGCUUGUCCGUCCGAUGCCCGAUUGGUCCAGAGCUCCAGCGCAGGCCGGAAAGACCGGAUCGGUGUCUCAUCUUUUAGGUUAGUGAAGCAUCCGAUGGCUACACUUGAGAAGCAUGCAUGGGCGCGGUGAAAGGCAAGUAUUCAAGAUAUGGUCCCGACAUGUUGUACGUGACGACACACUUGCGAUCGUCGAUCACCUGCUCCUCAUGUUGUUUGUGGAUAGGAAAAUAAAAUAUAUAUAUAUAUAUAUAUAUAUAUAUAUAUAUAUAUAUAUAUAUAUAUAUAUAUAUAUUGGAUUGAGCUCCUAUAUUUUUAAAAAUACAAGUCAUUGAUGCUUGUCAGUCUUCGGCCCUUGGAUUAAGAGAUAUACGGUUAGGAUGAUAGUUAUCUCCUAAGGUUGAGUGGGUAAUUGGUUGAAUAGUAUGAUCUAACGAAUGAAAAUAAUCAAAGUGGUAGAUCUAAAGGCGAAAAACUUACAAGCAUGAUGUGCUUGGUACUUUUGAAGGCACCAUGCCGGACUCUAAUUACUGUAUAUUGUUAUGAACAUGUAUAUAUACAGAUAUGAUGGGUUUGAAGAUGAUCUUAAAGAUCCUUCACAACUGGGAUUUUGGGUAGUGAUCGCAUAAUCAAAUAAUCACUGCCGACGUUCCCAAUGACUGAUUUUGAUCUACGUAAAGUAUUAUAUUUUUUAUGGGGAAGAAUUUGUCUGGGAAGCAACUAUGGAGAUUCUGCCGCACUAAGAAAAAGGGACAAAAAAAAGGGGGGGAAAAAGAAAAAAACUGGCCGAAGUUUAAAAUCAUAGAAUUAUAGCAUAAUUGAUAAUUGUUAGCAAUUUUUUUGAUGCCAUUUGCGUUUGAAACAGCUGAAAAAUAAGUAAUUUUUGAUACGGGUAUUUACCUUGGACAGCACGCACAACAAGGACUGCAUGUGGUUCCUAGCCAAGGAGUCCCCUACAAAUGCCAGGGAUUUGUGCCUCACGAGAUUGAGGAACCUCGCUGCAUCGAACCGCGGAAGUUCGCAGCUCUCGGGCUUCCACCUCCACUUCAAGAAGCUGAGGUCCGGCCUCCCGUACUUGAGGCAGUUCUGAUGCUCUUGGAUGGUGAAACAAUUCUUGUUUGUGUAGUACGGCAUCUCCGAAUCCCACUUCCAUUUCCCCCUGAAUAUGUCACACUCUGUCAGGUUAACAAAAUACGCAGCAGCGUCCUCAUCCGCAGCACCGGCAGACGAAGCGACCAGCGCGUCGUAUAGGGUGAUCUUGGUAAAGAAUACAAGGAUCAACACGACGAGCAAGACGAAUUUCGGAAAGCUCUGCGGGCUGUGGCGAUGCCUGGAGAAAGGGAGUUUGAGCAGAGGGGACUUCAUUGCGGAGUUGCGCGAGAAGAAGGCCAGGGAACAAAGGUGUGAAUCAAUACUUAUUGUGGUUAAAUAUUUCCACUUCUUUGGUGCGAAUAUAUUUAGUGCUUGUCGCUUUGGUUAGGUGUUGUGGGGGGACCAUGUUAUCAUCACUCGCCACUUCGUUGUUUCUAGGAGAAGCUAUAUAUUAUCAAAUUCACGAACGUGUGUGGGUCUGGCGCCACAGCAAGCCCAUCUAAUCAUGCCUUUGCUUCAUUCAUUUUGGUGUGGCACAGUGGUGUUGGCGUUAUCGCCACUAUUUUUAUUCCCGAUCGCUCAACGCCACUUUAAAUGCAAGUUGUGUAAAUUUCCUUUCCGAAAUCGCCCAUGUGACUCUCGCCAUCACCAUUACAGAGCAUCAGCGGGGCUCUUUAUUGCGAGUCGUAAUCAGAGAACGGUGUUUUCAUACUUUUACGUAGCGAAGGUGAAGUAAUAAGACAUUUUAGCCAGGACGAUUGACGGUCGGCCGACAAAAUUAGGAAAAAAAUUUGUAAGUUGCUGUUUGCUGGUUUGCAAAAGGAUGGCAGAGCAGGUAGGCAGUCUAUUUGUUAGUAGUAGUAGGUCAGCCGACUGCCCUUUCUUAAUGCGGUAAUUUCAAAUCUCCAGGCUGGGAGUACAGUGUCUGAAAAAAGUUUCCGAGUAAUUUUGGACGAUCUUUGAGGUGGAAAUUCUGAGAAGAUUCUAAAAUUGGUGAUGUAACUCUCUUUUGGUUAGUUAGUGAGGCUGGGGGGUCGAGCCAGCUAAUGUGGGGGGGCCCGUGUCUGUACCGCAAUGAAGAUAGAGGUAGCUUUGGUGGUCACGAUUUAAGAUCCAAAAAUUUUCUCUGACACUAAAAUUAUAAAAUUUUCACUAGAAUUAAAAUUUACAGAUUUCACUUUGAAGGAGCACAUUUAUGUCCUUGUCAUGAGCAUAAUUGAGGCCGUAAUAUGGGCCGUACUUAAAUGGGCCACACGAUGUAUGUGCUGACCCACCUCUAUUUUCGCACGAUCGCUAGUAGGCCGGUACAGUUCUUGAUCCAGACCAGGACCAGCUUGGGUUGUGCUCGGGUCGCGUCUUUUCAAUGUUAAUUUUUGUGAACUAUAUGUAGUAAUUUAUUCAAUAAAAUGAUUUUUAGAUAAAAUUUUCUUUACAAAAUAUUUAAGCUUCAAAUAGUUUAAAUUAUACUUGAGAGAAAAAGACCGCAACCUGGGGCGGCCUGCACCCAUGGCGUGGACCGUGGGCCUGCCGGGUGUGACGCCCAGUACAGCUGCGGCCUGGAUUGCAGUCCUAAUCUGCGCAACAAUGGAUCCACACAAAAAUGAAGGAUACCUGCUGCUGCUGCUGCUGCUGCUGCUGCUGCUGCUGAUGGAGAUAAGGAGAUUCUGCCCCGCGGAAAAGAACAUUGCGAAACUGGCCAAACUUUGGAGAUUGCAGUCGGAAGCUUUUUUUGGCUCAGUAGUUGUUAUCAAAGAUAGCCUUUCACAAAAUGGUCCUUCAGAAAUGUUAAAGGGGAUCUGUCGAUCCUCAUCCACAGGAAGUUUAUGUGGACUACAUGAUUCAGGUUUAUCUUGCAUCCCAUGCAUCGUGGAAUUCCACAGCUACAUGACCCUUGUAAACCCCACCCCAAAGAUGAUGUCCAAUCAUAAGAAUAACGUAGUUUGUAAAUUAUUGUAAAAUUUGUUGGUAAGUACAGCAUUACUCCUCUGUGACCCGAGCACUUAUAAAACAUAUUUGUCUCGUCCCAUUAGAGUCCGUACUUCUAUAUAA
rnacentral:lncRNA from 1 species